CGUUGAGACAGGUGGUGCAUGGUUGUCGUCAGCUCGUGUCGUGAGAUGUUGGGUUAAGUCCCGCAACGAGCGCAACCCUUGUGAUUAGUUGCUACGCAAGAGCACUCUAAUCAGACUGCCGUUGACAAAACGGAGGAAGGUGGGGACGACGUCAAAUCAUCAUGCCCCUUAUGACCUGGGCUACACACGUACUACAAUGGCCGUCAACAGAGGGAAGCAAGACCGCGAGGUGGAGCAAGCCCCUAAAAACGGUCUCAGUUCGGAUCGCAGGCUGCAACCCGCCUGCGUGAAGCUGGAAUUGCUAGUAAUCGCGGAUCAUCAUGCCGCGGUGAAUACGUUCCCGGGCCUUGUACACACCGCCCGUCACACCAUGGGAGCCGGUAAUACCCGAAGUCGGUAGCCUAACCGCAAGGAGGGCGCCGCCGAAGGUAGGAUUGGCGACUGGGGUGAAGUCGUAACAAGGUAGCCGUAUCGGAAGGUGCGGCU
rnacentral:rRNA from 1 species